rnacentral:tRNA from 1 species
GGUAGUGUAGCCAAGUGGUAAGGCAUUGGUCUGCAAAACCAUGAUCGCCGGUUCGACUCCGGUCACUACCU